GCCUGGGUGGCUCAGUCGAUUGAGAGUCUGACUUCAGCUCAGGUCAUGAUCUCGUGAUUCAUGGGUUCAAGCCCCACAUCAGGCU
rfam:Felis catus isolate Cinnamon breed Abyssinian chromosome B2, whole genome shotgun sequence.